rnacentral:rRNA from 1 species
UACAGAGGGGGCUAGCGUUAUUCGGAAUUAUUUGGCGUAAAGGGCGCGUAGGCGGCCAUGCGUGUCUUCCGUGAAAUCCCUCGGCUUAACUGAGGACGUGCGGAAGAAACUGCAAGGCUCGAGUCCGGGAGAGGGGGGUGGAAUUCCCAGUGUAGCGGUGAAAUGCGUAGAUAUUGGGAGGAACACCGGUGGCGAAGGCGGCCCCCUGGACCGGUACUGACGCUGAGGCGCGAAAGCGUGGGUAGCAAACGGG